rnacentral:rRNA from 1 species
UACGGAGGAUGCAAGCGUUAUCCGGAAUGAUUGGGCGUAAAGCGUCCGCAGGUGGCUGUGUAAGUCUGCUGUUAAAUAGUGAGGCUCAACCUCAUAAAGGCAGUGGAAACUACACGGCUAGAGUGCGUUCGGGGCAGAGGGAAUUCCUGGUGUAGCGGUGAAAUGCGUAGAUAUCGUAAGGAAGACCAGUGGCGAAGGCGGAUCUCUGGACAGUUACUGACACUGAGGCACGAAGGCCAGGGGAGCAAACAGG